UUUCUGCUCUAAAAAAAAACUGCUUUCCCCAUUUUUUCUCUAAAAAGGGUUUGGGGUUGGCCAAAGCGGUUCAAUGGCUCUCUGUCGUGGCCUCGCCGUGAACGACGGUCAGAGACACGCGGAUCCGGCCCUUUUUUAAGCCCUUUCCAAACCCUUUCCCUUUUCUCUUUAAAUAAAAAAUAAAAAAAAAUCUAGAUCUAGGAUAUUCAAAACGGAAAUAAGAGAGAAAAAGAGGGAAAAAAAUGUAAAUAACGAAGGGAAGCCUUCAUUUUCGUUGCUUUUUCGACCCUCGUCGGAACCCGAAUGGGUUUUAUGACAUUUGGAUUGCCGGAGAUCCCCACAACGAAGGAAGACGCGCCUAAAGGUACAAGGCGACGUAAAGGCAUACGGGCGUCCUAACGUGGCGAGGUGGUCGUGGUUGCGGCGCAAGGAGGCCAUACAUGGAGUAGUUGGCUGCGACACAAGGGCUAGGGUUUGCUGCAAACAUGGUCUGAGCUUUGGGCCAUUUGGGCCAAUGUAAUUGGGUCUUAGGGUUUUAUUAGUUUUGGGUUUUAAAUUGGGCUUGCCAUAUUGUAAUGGACUGUAUGAAAAUUUGGGCUUUUAUUUCUGUUUAUUA